CCACGCUGGCUUCGUGGCCUGCGCGAGGUGCCGGCGACGCGCGGCUCUGCAGCCGGGGAGCUCGCUGCGGAGGCGAAAGGGGUUGGCAAUUCUGUAGCUUGAAAUCCCUGAAGAACGGAAACCCAAAGAAGACAGAGUAAAAGAGGAGAGAUCUGGGCUCAGGAACUGGAAAGCAUGUAGGUGAAAUGAACAGGAGACAGCAACCAUGGGAAUUCGAGAGGGUGAAAAGGAGAUCCCCCUGCUGAACAAGGUGCAGUUGCUAAGUUUGGGGUCUCCUCUGGAAGAUUCCCAAGCUGCGUGGUACUUGAUUUAUCUACUUUGGAAGGAUGAAACCUGAACUGACUUGCUUGCUGGGACCCAAGCCCAUAAUUCCAAAAGGCCUAGGAGACUCCUAUAGAUGGCUGUCCUUCGAGAAGUUGCUAUUCUGACACCAA